CCAAGGAAAGGAGGGGUCCUUGUGUGUGUUAUGAGAUUUGGGUUCCUGGGGCUCAGGCACCUGCUACUGGUUGAUGCAGCAUCACGAACCGCCCUAUCUAUAGCCUGUGGUUCCUGUUUUCAGCUGGAAUAGUCACCACUGAGUCAAUGGCUGCCAGUGCUUAUGUGGUUACUGAGCGGGCCGUGGGUGAUAAAGGCCACAACACUAAAGAGCCCUGGGCUCAGAAGACCAGGAGGAAGCACCAGCAGCUCUGACCUGGGCAGCUUCCUGAGGAGAUGCAGCCACUUCUGCUCCUGCUGGCCUUUCUUCUGGCUCCCACGGCGCAGGCAGUGAAAAUCAUCGGGGGUCAUGAGGUCAAGCCUCACUCUCGUCCCUACAUGGCAUUUCUUCGGAUCAGGAUUUCAGACAGAAAAAGAUGUGGGGGUUUCCUUGUGCGUGAGGACUUUGUGCUGACAGCAGCUCACUGCUGGGGAAGAUCCAUCACAGUCAUCCUGGGCGCCCACAACAUCAGGAAGCGUGAAAGGACCCAGCAGGUCAUCCCAGUGAAAACAGCCAUCCGCCACCCAAACUAUCAUCCCAAAGUCAAUGACAUCAUGUUGCUGCAGCUGCAGAGGAAGGCUACUCUGACUGCUGCUGUGAGCCUCCUCAGGCUGCCCAGGAGGGGAGAGCAGGUGAAGCCAGGGAUGGUGUGCAGAGUGGCCGGCUGGGGGCGACUCGACCUGAACACCAGCACAGCCACACUGCAUGAGGUAGAGCUGGAAAUCCAACAGGAUGAGCAGUGCAUCUCUUGCUACAGACACCGUUACAACAGAACCACAGAGAUCUGUGUGGGGGACCCAGAAAGGAAUCAGUCUACUUUUAAGGCUGCAGCCCAGGGCAGCUCCCUAGUCUCCUGGUAACUCAAGCCAAUGAGAGCUCAUCAGAGAAUCCCUCUGAGAUCAUGACUGGGGCAAUGAGAGGCUGGGAAAUAGACAGGUCAAUCAGUGUCUCCCUAGGGCCCACACCAUCAAGGAGCAGGUGACGACCCAGCAGACUCACGUGUAACAACAGGCCCAGGGAAUUUUCUCCUGUGGAGAAAGAAACUUCCAGGAGUCUUCAUGAACGUCUCAUACUUCCUCCCCUGGAUACAGAGAACAAUGAAGAGCCUCUAACAGCAGGCAUGAGGCUGGCCUUCCUCUUGGCUUGACCAUUCGUCUGGGGGCAGAGGCAAGAAUCCCAUGGGGCAGGCAGUGUGGAGUACAGGGCCUAAUAAACACAUCUCUAGAGCCAAUGCCACAGAAGUCUUAUUCAGUGAACCCCUUUCAAUAGGUAACAACAAUGCUCCAUGCGCCCUCUGCUGGCAAUUCUGGGCUUGCUUCCUUCUUUCUCCCCCCAGCCUCCAUCCUCCCUAAACCCCAUACAGUAUAGUUUCUCAUCCAUUUUGCAAGCACACCUCUUUGGUGCUUAACCCUCUGGAAGGUCUGAUUCUAAGCUCCAUUAUUUAAAAAAAAAAAUUCUCUCCCAAGAAAUGGCCCUCUUUGGGCCUCAGAAAUUUCUUAUCUUCUGUAAGCCAAAUACUAUCACCAACCCCCUCUCCCCCAACAAUUUGGCUGAAGAAGAAUAACUCCAGGACCUAGAGGCCAGAAGGCCAUGCCAUGGGCACUGUUUUCUGCUUCCAGGUCCUCUCUCUCCAGUGGGAGCAGGAUUCUCAGGAGGCUCAGAUGCUCCUAUGAUGGCCCUCAGCCUACUCAGGUCACAUUUCCCUGCCCGGCCCUGGGACAGCACUGAGCUCAGUCAGCCUCUUUUCUCCCUGGCUGACCUUCCCAGCCCCUGUUUUCCAUCUGAGUGCCCAGACACCAGCUUCUUCCCCCACCACCACCCCCAACCCAGACCACUUAUUUUGAGCCAGCCUCUCUCACAUCUACCUAACACAGUUCUGAAUACCAGCGUGAAUUCUCCUCUAUUGCUUCCUCACCAGACCUGAACUGCCAGCCCACCUGGUGCCUAUCAGAAGAGCCAGAAUCUACUUCCCACCUGGGCAGGACCAGCUCAGUGCCUUCCAGCCCAGC